rfam:Hordeum vulgare subsp. vulgare, WGS project CAJW01000000 data, contig: morex_contig_59864
GUUGCACCAUAAUCGUCCCUUCAUCCCAUAAAAUUGGAACGAUACAGAGAAGAUUAGCAUGCCCCUGCGCAAGGACGACACGCACAAAUUGAGAAAUGGUCCAAAAAUUU